UACAGAGGUCCCGAGCGUUGUUCGGAUUCACUGGGCGUAAAGGGUGCGUAGGCGGUCGGGUAAGUCUGAUGUGAAAUCUCACAGCUUAACUGUGAAACUGCAUUGGAUACUAUUCGGCUUGAGAGUUGGAGGGGGGACUGGAAUUCUUGGUGUAGCAGUGAAAUGCGUAGAUAUCAAGAGGAACACCAGUGGCGAAGGCGAGUCCCUGGACAACUUCUGACGCUGAGGCACGAAAGCUAGGGGGAGCAAACAGG
rnacentral:rRNA from 1 species